GACGAACGCUGGCGGCGUGCCUAAUACAUGCAAGUUGAGCGCCGAAGGUUGGUACUUGUACCAAUUGGAUGAGCAGCGAAAGGGUGAGUAACGAGUGGGGAAUCUGCCUUUGAGCGGGGGACAACAUCUGGAAACGAAUGCUAAUACCGCAUAAAAACUUUAAACACAAGUUUAAAGAUCGAAAGAUGUACUUGUAUCACUCAAAGACGAUCCCGCGUUGUAUUAGCUAGUUGGUGAGGUAAGGGCCCACCGAGGCGAUGAUACAUAGCCGACUUGCGAGGGGAAGCUGCUACAUUGGGACGGGAACACGACCCGAACGCCUGCAGGAGACAGCAGUAGGAGACUUUCGGCGGUGGACGAAAGUCGGACCGAGCAACGCCGCGUGAGUGAAGGAGGGUGUCGGGUCGUGAAACUCUGGUAGUAGUGAAGGUCGUUAGUGGGUGUUGAAAGCGCAUCAAGUGACGGUAACUACCCAAAAAGGGACGGCUAACUACGUG
rnacentral:rRNA from 1 species